AUGCUUGGCUCAGACCAUCUGGAGCUUCCAGUUAUGUCCCUGCUGGGCUUCCGUGCUGUUAGGAUACAGUUCAUCACGCCUGCUUUCUCCUCCUCACCCCAGACUGCAGGAGUCCACUCGGCUAGACUGACAGCUCUCAAAAUAAAGUGCAAGAUCAAAGGUGUAUGCAACGUGACUUGCUAUAAAAAGAGAAUUUUCAAGGCUGGCCAGCAGAGGGAGUGCAGUGAUCUGUUAGUUAUUAAAUUUACACAAAAAUACUUCUCUAAAAAAUCAUUUCUAAUAAUUCCAAACAUUUUCUUUCAGGUAAAAAUUAAUCAGUUAUGGUGACUUGUAUGCAUGAUUUUUGAUUAAACUUUUUUUUUUUUCUUUUUUUUUUUUUUUGGAAGGGCCUUUGUUUUGCCUGAUCAAUAAACAAAUCAAUAGUUAUUAAUAAUGCA
ensembl:lncRNA